GACGUAGGGCGCGAGCGUUGUCCGGAUUUAUUGGGCGUAAAGAGCGUGUAGGCGGUUUUGGUAGGUCCGUUGUGAAAAACUCGAGGCUCAACCUCGAGACGCCGGCGGAAACCAUCAGGCUAGAGUCCGGAAGAGGUGAGUGGAAUUCCCCGGUGUAGCGGUGAAAUGCGUAGAUAUCGGGAGGAACACCUGUGGCGAAAGCGGCUCACUGGACCAUAACUGACGCUGAUGCACGAAAGCUGGGGGGAGCAAACAGG
rnacentral:rRNA from 1 species